AAGGUUCCUGGAUUGGACUUCAUACGGGCCGGGAAACAAAGGGGAUCUACAAGUGGGUGGAUGGUACCAACUUGACUUCAAGUUCCUGGCAUGUACCAAUCAUUCCGUAUGGCUAUGAUGGCUGUGCAGUAACAGCUGACAAAUUGGUGAUGGGUCCAUGUGCCUCUCAAAACAUCUGGAUCUGUGAGAAGGUCAACGUCCUGGAACAUCUGGAAGCUGAACUGAACAAAGAGGGGAUGCCCAAGGAGAAGGAGGAGGAGGUAGAGGAGGAGGAG